rnacentral:pre_miRNA from 1 species
UAAUUACUUCCUCCGUCCCAUAUUAAGGGUCACAACUUUGUCUAAAUGCGCAUGUAUCUAAACAUCUUUUAGUGUAUAGAUUAUGUAGACAAAAUUGUGACAUUUAAUAUGGGACGGAGGAAGUUUCAU